rnacentral:rRNA from 1 species
UACGUAGGGUGCUAGCGUUGUUCGGAAUCAUUGGGCGUAAAGCGCGUGUAGGCUGUUAGUUAAGUCGGGUGUGAAAUCCCUGGGCUCAACCGAGGAAGUGCAUCCGAAACUAACUAGCUGGAAGAUGGUAGAGGAAGGUGGAAUUCCUAGUGUAGAGGUGAAAAUUCGUAGAUAUUAGGAGGAAUACCGGUGGCGAAGGCGGCCUUCUGGACCAUUCUUGACGCUGAGACGCGAAAGCGUGGGGAGCAAACAGG